rnacentral:rRNA from 1 species
ACGGAAGGCAGCAGUAGGGAAUCUUCGGCAAUGGGGGCAACCCUGACCGAGCAACGCCGCGUGAGUGAAGAAGGUUUUCGGAUCGUAAAGCUCUGUUGUAAGAGAAGAACGUGUGUGAGAGUGGAAAGUUCACACAGUGACGGUAACUUACCAGAAAGGGACGGCUAACUACGUGCCAGCAGCCGCGGUGGUACGUAGGUCCCGAGCGUUGUCCGGAUUUAUUGGGCGUAAAGCGAGCGCAGGCGGUUUAAUAAGUCUGAAGUUAAAGGCAGUGGCUUAACCAUUGUUCGCUUUGGAAACUGUUGGACUUGAGUGCAGAAGGGGAGAGUGGAAUUCCAUGUGUAGCGGUGAAAUGCGUAGAUAUAUGGAGGAACACCGGUGGCGAAAGCGGCUCUCUGGUCUGUAACUGACGCUGAGGCUCGAAAGCGUGGGGAGCAAACAGGAUUAGAUACCAUGUA